AAGGAUUGAGAAGGCAUUCUUCGAGGCUGAUGCGUUUCUUGAAGGUGUUGUCAGAGAUCACAGUGUUGCAUUGGAUAACGGGGCUUCAAGUGAUGACCUAUUGUACAAUUUGCUAGAGAUUCAGAAACAGGACAGCAAUCCUGAUUUUUCUAUCGAUAACGAGUCCAUUAAAGGACUAAUCUUGGUAACUACACAAAAUCUCUGUAACUUUAGCUUAUCUCAUGAUCAUUUCUAUAUUUCAUAGAGCGUGUUUUUUUAAUAACUUAUAAGUCAUCUGUAAUAUAAAAUUACGCAGACAGACAAUUUAAACUGAUCAAUUAUCACUUUAAGUCACUGUAAGUCAUAAGUUAUAAUUUUUAGACUGCCGGGCUCAUAGUUCUUGUCAUCAGUUGAUAAUUCGUUUGACAUUUUAUAUAUGCCUUGCAGAAUAUGUUCUUUGAUGGAACUGAUUCGACGUCUAUAGUAUUAGAGUGGACUAUGGCAGCACUCUUACAAAAUCCAAACGUCAUGUGUAAAUUGCAAAAUGAAGUGAGGGAGAUAGGAAGGGGAAAAGCAACAAUAUCUGAGGAUGAUUUGGAGAAAAUGCACUACUUGAAAGCAGUGAUCAAGGAGAGUACACGGAUUUAUACUCCACUUCCGCUACUAGUUGCUAGACAAGCAAUGCAAGAUGCAAAGGUUAUGGGAUACGACAUUAAAGUCGGGACACAAGUACUGAUUAAUGCUUGGGCAAUCGCAAAAGACCCUGCUGUGUGGGAUAAGCCAGAGGAAUUCAUCCCUGAGAGAUUCUUGAACAGUCCUACUGAUUUUAAAGGCCUACAUUUUGAGUUAAUUCCGUUUGGAGCAGGGCGGAGGGGCUGCCCUGGAAUUCAAUAUGCCAUGGCCAUCAAUGAGCUCACAUUAGCAAACUUGGUGCACAUAUUUGAUUUUGCAUUGCCUGAUGGAAAGAGACUGGAAGAUCUGGACAUGGCUGCUGAGUCUGGCAUGACUCUCCAUAAAAAAUCUCCUCUGUUGGUGAUUGCAACACCGCGUGUCUAAUUAGCACUAUUCUUCGUAAAACAAGUCACGUUCAUCUCAUUGUUGGACGUCAAAAUAAAGUGAGGGAGAAGCUUUUUAUCUGUGCCCUUUUUCGUGCUUUAGCUAGAAGGGACAUCAAUGUGAUGCUUGGUGUUUAUUAAUCAAGUUUUGUUUUCGAUCAUAGUUUGUUUUGAUGCUUCAUGCUUAUUGUUUUUUGGCUUGCUUCGGGGGUAUGCCCCCAGAAUAUGUGGCCUGUUUUAAUUCAAUAAAAGAUGCAUGCCAAACAAUAUGCUUGUAUUGUUUCUUUUCUAGCAAUCAAUCUAGUUUCGACACACGCAUCCAACCUUCUUGCAUCUUUCCACCAGAUUAAUCAAGACCCGCACAUAUCACUUAAAUCUUUGGCUAAAAAUAAAGGGUCCUGUCAUGCAAACUGCACCUGGGAGUGUUCCUGUUCUUGCUGUGUCUUCAGCUAAUGCAGCUAUGAGCUAUGCAGAUUAUGAAAUAAUGAAAACGCAGAAUCUUGCUUUCGCAAGCAGGCCUGUCUCAAUAGAGCAAUGCUACAUGCACAAAAUUAGGUACAAAAUUUUCCACAAAAUGAUAUGACACUUAAUAUGGGAUGUUUUAAUUGGUGCUAUUUACGCGAAUACAAGAGCCCAUUAAUCAAAACUCAUGUCAUUUUGUGAAAGAUUUUGUAUCCAAUUUUGUGGAUGAAGUAUUUUCUGUCUCCAUAUUUUGGAGUUAAAUCCUCUAUAACGGUAGGAAGUGGCCUUUGCUCCUUAUACUGAAUAUUGGAUGCAGAUGAAAAGUAUUUGUGUUUUCCAGCUCCUGAAAACAAAAGAGCUCGUUCAUUUCCCAACGUUAGAAANUUUAUCACAUUAUUUUUUGUACAAAGAUGGGAAAACAACAGGUACGGACAUGUUUGGUCGUUCUUACUUUAUCAGAAUUAUUAUAUUUAUAUAAUAUUUUUAGUAACAAAUUUCGUGAAAUGUUUUAAAAAAAUUAUCUGCAGAAAUAUGUAAGUUAUUUAUAAAAAUAUACAUGUAUCUUUCAGAAACAAAUAUAUUAUUUUUGAAAAUAUGAUAAAUUAAGUCGGUUCAUAUAAUUAAUACUAUUAAAAAAGUGACAUUCUGCAUUUAGUGCUCAUCCAACCAAAAUGUAUCUGUUCAGGGACCAGGAGACCCGACAAAAUCUAUAAUAUUUAUUUGUGAAUUAUAUCGCAAAAUCAAAAUAUUGACCAAAUGAAUGGGAUAAGGCCAUAAGGGUACAUCAAGCCCUUACAGAAUUUAUGACAUUAUCGUGAUGUUAAAUUUGUUUGGGUAAUUUUGACUUAAUGACUUUAAGAUUAUUAAAAAUAUAAAAAUAAAAUUGAUUUAUUUAGGGAUAAUUUUUAUCUGAAAAAGGUAAAAAAAAUUAACUCAAACUAACUUCUGGCUUUAAGUCUUCUAGCUUAUUUCUGACUUUGAGCUAUUUUCUAAAUAUUACAAAUAGACGUUUUUCAGCUUAGAGUUAGAUAGAGCUUUUAAGUCCGGGCAUAAAGCCGGGACAAACAGGCUCUCUACCUCUCUACCUCAGAAUACAGGACAAGAACCAAAGAGGCAAUGAACAUGUAAAACACUAAAACCUCUGCAAGAUCACUAAACCAAAUUGUAGCAACCAUGGUACUAGACCAACAACUAUUGUUCCUGUCCUUGCGCUCUCUAUUCUUUGUCUUAGUUUUUCUGUAUAUAUGGUUUUCAACCAGAACAACCGGCAAAAAUCUGCCUCCUUCUCCUCGAAAAUUACCUAUAAUUGGAAAUCUUCAUCAGGUCAAACAAGACCCGCAUGUAGCACUAAGAUCUUUGUCUCAAAAAUAUGGUCCUGUCAUGCAACUCCACUUCGGAAGUGUGCCUGUUCUUGUUGUGUCCUCAGCUGAUGCAGCUAAGGAGAUCAUGAAGACCCAUGAUCUCACUUUCGCGAACAGGCCUGACUCGACUAUCUGGAGCAGAAUCUUCUAUAAUGGCAAGGACGUGUCCUUUGCUCCUUAUAGUGAAUACUGGAGACAGGUGAAAAGUAUUUGUGUCACUCAGCUGCUGAGUAACAAAAGAGUUCAAUCAUUUCACAACGUUAGAGAACAAGAAGUAGGCCUUUUGGUCCAACAUAUCAAAGAUUCGGGUUCAGAUAUAGUAAAUUUGAGUGAUUUGACCUAUACACUUCAGAGUAAUGUGGUGUCCAGGAUUGCUCUAGGAAAAAAAUAUACUAAUUCUACUGAAGACGGCGAGGAAAAUUCAUUUAGGGAACUGUUUCAGAAUAUAGCUCAGUUGAUUGGUUAUUUCAGUUUUAGUGAUUAUAUUCCAUGGCUGUACUGGAUUGAUUCUUUAAGCGGUCUGAAGGGGAGGGUUGAGAAAGCAGCUAAUGAGAUCGAUGCUUUCCUAGAAGGUGUGAUCAGAGAUCACAGUAGUGCAUUAAGUAGCGGUGCUUCAAGCGAUGACCUUCUGAAAACUUUGCUUGAGAUUCAGAAACAGGAUUCAGAUUCUGCCUUCUCUAUUGAUAAUGAUUCCAUUAAAGGCAUUAUCUUGGUAGGCACAAAAAUUCUAUCGGCUCUUAUUUUCAGAUGAUCUUUUCAUACCGUUUAUUUACUUUUGUUAAGAUAUAUAGGGUCAUGCUUCACCACAAAUUUUUUUUCGUAACAGGUCAUGUAGGAUUUUAUUUAUAGAUUGAAGAUUAAACCAUCGUUAAUUACUUGGACUCCGCCUUAACAACAGCCAUUUAUGAAUGUUACUUUUCACUUAAUUGGUCAUUUGACAUGUUUUAUCUAUCUUGUAGAAUAUGUACUUUAAUGGGACUGAUUCAACAUCAGCAGUAUUGGAGUGGACAAUGGCAGCAUUGAUUAAACACCCGGACAUCAUGUAUAAGUUGAAGAAUGAGGUGAGAGAGAUAGGAAGGGGGAAAUCAAGAAUUGAUGGGGAUGAUCUGGAGCAAAUGCCCUACUUGAGAGCCGUGAUUAAGGAAAGUAUGAGACUUUAUACUCCAGUUCCGCUACUAGUAGCUAGAGAAGCGAUGCAGGAUGUGAAAGUCAUGGGAUACGACAUGAAAGCUGGAACGCAGGUACUGAUCAAUGCUUGGGCAAUUGCAACAGACCCUGCUUUGUGGGAUAACCCAGAGGAAUUUAUCCCUGAGAGAUUCUUGAACAGCCCUCUUGAUUAUAAAGGUCUGCAUUUCGAGUUCAUUCCAUUCGGAGCAGGAAGAAGAGGCUGCCCUGGAAUCCAAUAUGCCAUGGCCAUCAAUGAGCUUGCAUUAGCAAACUUGGUGCACGUAUUUGAUUUUGCAUUGCCUGAUGGAAAAAAAUUUGAGGAUUUGGAUAUGGCUUCUGAGACAGGAAUGACUGUUCAUAAAAAAUCACCUCUACUGGUAAUUGCAACUCCACGCAUCUAGUCAUCUUUCCAUUCCUUAAUAAGUCCCAAAUGUUACUGUAUGGUAAUGUCUAAGUUAUGCAAGACAAUGCAACAUUGUAUUAUUCAAAUAGACUAUUGAUUGUAAUAUUGUGACGAUGAUUUGUAAUAUUGUAACCAGGUGAUUUGUUGCCUGUUUGUUGCCUGUUUGUUCCUGUUUGUUCGCUAAAAUAGCUUUGUAUAUAGAUCCUGUCCUCUCAUAGUAUCAUUCACAUAAAGAUAGCAAAAUAGCACAAUGGCAUCAAGUGCAACAACUUAAAGUUUGUUGCAGUGGCAAAAUCAUUGCGUGGAGAUAACUAUAUGCUCGAAAUUUAAGAAGUGAAUAGUUCUCUGAUUUUGUGAGACCUAAAACAUAUUUGGAAACUACAGCUAGCUACUGUUUCUUGUCUUAUGGUGGGGAAUUCAGACAAAGUGCUGAAUAUUUCAUGUGACACAAACAGCAAUUUUUCAUGUUGUUGCAACAACUUAUUAGCUGCCGUUGUCAUUAGAGUCCUGACACACCGGAAGUGUUUGGUGGAGUUUUAUUAACAUUUGGUAUCUGUAGAAAACUCGACCAGUACAUUGUAACAAAAUACAUAAGCAAGUCUAACCCCUAAAACAACUCCAUUCGUUGUUUGUUCCAAAUCAUAUUAUUUUUUAAUUAAUUGGUGAAGUAAACGAGUGAGCAUUGGUAACCUUGAUUUCCCAACGUUAGAGAAGAAGUAAGCCUUUUGGUCGAAAAUAUCAGAAGUUGGGGAUCAAAAAUAGUGACUUUGAGCGUUUUGUUCUAUACACUUCUCAAUAAUGCAAUGUCUAGGAUUGCUCUAGGAAUUUUACUUAACGCGGUGAAGAAUGUGUUAGAACAUAAUAUGAUCCUCGCAGAUCCAUUUCCUAACACUUUUGAGAUUUUAGGAGAAUUGGUCAGUAACAUGGUAUCAGAGCUAAGACGUGCGAGAUCACAAGAACUGUUCUAGAAUAUAGCUCAAUUGAUAGGGUAUCCAGUUUUAGUAACUAUAAUCCAUGGCUAUACUGGUUGAUUACUUGAUUCUCUAUCGAUAAUGAUUGAACAUUUAUAUGGUGUUUAGUUAUAUUUAUUUUCUUUUCUUUUGCAGUUUUUGCUAAUUUGUAUAUGAUCUUUACUCGCUAGAAUUUUCCUUUAAUGCAUAGUUUUGCUUCUGACUUUUAAGUGUGUCCCUCAUCAAGCAACUGUCGGCAGUUGCCAUAAAAAAGUCGUCUGAAGCUCUGCAACACCUCUAUUUUGAGCGGAUACACUUUAAUCUUCUUCUGCAAAUGUCGUGCAAUAAUUACUGUAUAAAUAGCAGUGGCCAAUAAUCAUGAUGCAGGUCGGUAACAGCUCCUUACCAAACUUCAUUCUGUUUUCUUGCCAAUGUAUACAAACGAUGGUAUAAUGGUACUUAUAAGCCACCAGUAGGAGAUGGCAUGGCUGAUUAUGUUUAUUUAUAAGAACAUCUGCGACCAUCCCGGUAAAAUGAUAGUCUUACAACUAUCGUGGUUAAAAUGAUCGUCUAAAAUGAUUAUUACUAUAAGCCAAAAAUACGUUAUUAAUGUAAGACUGAAAUGGAACGUGGUGACGCCGUAUUAGCUUCGUUUUCAUUUUAGUGCCCAGAAUUUCAAAUUUAUAAAUGAAUGGCUUAAGGACCACUUUUCUGAAUAUAAGACUAAUAUUUUUUUUCCCUCAAAAAAGUGCCCCUCGGCCUUCUUUUUGAUAAAUUAGAUGAAUAUAUGAUCGUCAUACCGCAAAUUUGAUAUUCCAGCCAUUAAAUGAUAAAGUACGGCUACCAAUUUAUACUUACAGUGAUAUUAUUUGCCUAAUCCCUGAACAUCUUGUUGACGAACUUUUCGCAUGGCACACCCCGCAUGCAUCCUACUUGUGUAUAUAUGUCACUUGGGAAAGUACAGAUUACUAAACCAAAUUGUUGAAGUCACAAUGGACCAACAAUCUUUACUUCUCUCUUCAUGUUCUUUCUUCUUUGUCUUAGUUUUCCUCUAUACCAGGUUCUCAACCAGCAAAACACCUCUAAAAAACCCGCCACCUUCUCCUCCAAAGCUACCUAUAAUUGGAAACCUUCAUCAGAUCAACCAAGACCCGCACCUAGCACUGAGAUCUCUGGCUCAAAAAUAUGGUCCUGUCAUGCAACUCCACUUCGGAAGUGUUCCUGUUCUUGUUGUGUCCUCAGCUGAUGCAGCUAAGGAGAUCAUGAAGACCCAUGAUCUUGCUUUCGCGAACAGGCCUGACUCGACUAUCUGGAGCAGAAUCUUCUAUAAUGGCAAGGACGUGUCCUUUGCUCCGUAUAGUGAAUACUGGAGACAGGUGAAAAUGAUUUGUGUCACUCAGCUGCUGAGUAACAAAAGAGUGCGUUCAUUUCACAAUGUUAGGGAACAAGAAGUGGCCCUUUUAGUCCAAAAUAUUAAAGAUUCGAGAUCAAAAAUAAUUAAUUUGAGUGAGUUGUUUUCGACACAUCUAGGCAAUGUGGUGUCUAGGGUGGUCUUGGGAAGAAAAUAUGCUAUGACUACUAAAGAUGGUGUAGAAAAUUCAUUUCGGGAACUGUUUCAGAAUAUUGCUCAGUUGAUAGGCUAUUUCAGCUUUGGUGAUUAUAUUCCAUGGCUAUUCUGGGUCGAUUCUCUAACCGGGUUGAAGGGAAGGAUUGAGAAGGCAUUCUUCGAGGCUGAUGCGUUUCUUGAAGGUGUUGUCAGAGAUCACAGUGUUGCAUUGGAUAACGGGGCUUCAAGUGAUGACCUAUUGUACAAUUUGCUAGAGAUUCAGAAACAGGACAGCAAUCCUGAUUUUUCUAUCGAUAACGAGUCCAUUAAAGGACUAAUCUUGGUAACUACACAAAAUCUCUGUAACUUUAGCUUAUCUCAUGAUCAUUUCUAUAUUUCAUAGAGCGUGUUUUUUUAAUAACUUAUAAGUCAUCUGUAAUAUAAAAUUACGCAGACAGACAAUUUAAACUGAUCAAUUAUCACUUUAAGUCACUGUAAGUCAUAAGUUAUAAUUUUUAGACUGCCGGG
rnacentral:lncRNA from 1 species